rnacentral:lncRNA from 1 species
ACUCCCAAGGAAAGUGACGCCUGAGAGAAAGAGCCAUUUGUUUGUCUUUUUAAUUUCAGCUUCUUCCUAAAUAAGACAGCCUUUUAGAAAGACUUUCACAGUGUCAGGUUAGUUACCUAAAUCUUAGGUAACUUUAGGUUAGUUACCUAAAGUCACUCUGUGACUUCAUCCUGAUAUAAAGGAACAAGGAAGAGAGUCGGAUUAGGCUAACUCACUAUGAUGGGGUAACACAUAGAAAAGGCACGGAGAAGUUAAGUGAUUUGCCUGUGGUCACAAAGCCUGUUAGCAGCAAACCCAGAACAAGAACCUAAGAUUUAUGACCGCCAGUUCCAGCUGUUUUUCUUCGUCAUGUAUCCUCAGCAAUCAACAUAAUCAAAAUCUGUUUGGAGACUACUGAUUUGUAUAAAGGAAGAUAACACCGAACAACCAAACAGGAAGUAAUCCAGCGAAUCUGGAACAGCGGUGGAAUUUAGAAGCAAGGCCAGAUGAGGACCCUAAGACCUAGAGAAACUAAGUCAUUUGCUCAAGAAGACAAAGGUAAUCAUCAGAAAUCAACAUGAGAUUUCAGCUCUCCUGAUCCUUAGUACAACAUGUGAAAGAAGAUAUGUUGUCUUUACUCACAGUGGAGGCAUUUUUCUAGCUGUGUUUGAUUUGGCUUCCCUAUAGAUUCAGGACCCAUAACUCUUGUUCUCACUCAUCUGCUAUGCUGCUGAUAAGGACUUUCAGGUCAACAGCUGUAACUGCUAAAUGAAGUUAAUACUCUGGAAAAAAAAAAAAAAAAAAAACCAGAAGGAACAGAGACCAAAAGAUUGAAAGCCAUUUGGAAAUUUCUUGAGUGGUGUCUGGCAGGUCUUUUAUGAAGAUUAUCAUAAACCAGGAAAAAAAAAAAAAACGCCUGCUGACUGUGUUAUCUGUAGUGCCUAUUGCCUAUUUUGGCUGAUUCAUUGAUGGUGUAACAGAUAACAGAAUGAAAGGAAAUGGUUUGGUUUCUAUAAAGGAAAAAGAAUGGUUUGUAUAAGGAAACCAUUAGUUUCCUGAGAUUGCUAUACCAAAUUAUCAAAACUUGGUGUCUUAAAACAAUAGAAAUUUUUUCUCCCACAGUUCUGGAGGCCAGAAACUCAAAAUCAGUAUUUGGCGGCUGAAAUCAAGGUGUUGGCAGCACCCUCUGGAGGCUCUCGGACAGAAUCUGUCCCUUGUGUCUAACAGAUUCUGCUGGCUGCUGGCAUUCCUUGACUUGUGGUCGUAUCAUUCCCAUCUCCUCCUCCAUAGUCAUAACGCUUUCUCCUCUUCUCUGGCAUUUGCAUCCCUUUUAUAAGACACGUAUGACUGCAUUUAGGGCUCACCAGGAUAAUGCAGGAUAAUCUUCCUAUUUCAGGAUCCUUUGCCACAUCUUCAAAGUCCUUUUUGGCCAAUAAAGUAAUAUUCACAGGCUCCGAAAUGAUGACCCAAAAUCUCUUUUUGCUUUUGCUUCACUCAUUUUGCAUUUAAUUACUAGGCUCUGCUUCUUCAGACACUUUUAUUACAGUUUAGUUUUUGCUACAUCCCUCAAAAAUGUCUUAUUAUUUUCACGGCCUGUCAUUUAGUUAUGUUUUCUUCUAAGUGUUUGGCUGUCUUGGUCAGUGCUCUAAAGGAAUUAAAAUCACUUGGUCAGGGCUCUGAAGUAAUUGGUCAGUGCUCUGAAGUAAUUAAAAUCACUGUGAAGCUGAAUGAAAAAUCAGAAGAAGAAUCAAGAGACCUAUGUUUUGCUUGUUAGGAGAACUGUGUAUCCUUUAUGUCUAUUUUUGGAGUUGGUGGUAAUUUCUGGUCAAGGAAUCAAAUGUUCUUAUUCCUAACCAUAUAGUCAGAUAAGAUGGCUAAGGUGCUUUCAUAAUCACCAUUGAUUCACUGUCAGAUGGGCCCGUGCUCUGUGACAACUUUUCAAUAUUAUAGACUUUACCAAAUAAAAAGGUAUCUCCUCAUUCUGUGCACAGAAAAAGAAAAUGAUGGAUGAGUAUAUUAGCCAGAACCCUGUCGCAGAAAAAUAAGCAUGAGUGUGCCCUUUCAUGCCUCCUGAGAACUCCUGUGCUAGACAGAGCCUGUUCAAGAUGUCUUUUCUGACUUUCUGAUUCCAGUUGACAUCUAGGCAUAUAAGGCAACUUUGUGAUGGGGCCAGAGAGCACCACACAUUGUUGUGUAUGAAAUACUCUAUUCAGCAAACAAGCCGUGCAGCAACAAGACCUAGUGUGGUCAAGGAUGGUGGACUAAAAACCACUAUGAAAGCAGAGAUGUAGCCACCUCUGAGACUGGUUUUCUAAGCAGGAUGACUUGGUUCCAUCCCUACAGGCAUCGUCUGGUCCAGUUCAGCACAGAGCUAGCUGCAAGUGACAACCUAAGAGAAAAGUCAGCGAGAACAAAGAUCCAUCUCUUCGUUGACUGCCUUAAUCCCUAGAGCUGUGUUCUUCAAUUUGUUACUAUUUGCUACAAUUUUUCUGCCUAACAAGCAAGUUCUAUCCUGCCUAGGAGAGAAACUUUUAGUAAAUUCAUCUUCAUUCACUACUAUUCAGCUCAUGCUGUAAAAACUUAGAUAAUGCUGUCUGAAAUACUUAACUCCUGGUCAAAUGCAGCUGCUAUUUCAUUCAGUAUAAUCAAAGAAUAGCCAAGGACUUUAGUUAAUAUUUCUUCAGAUGAUAGAGAAUAAACAAAUUGUUUUGGAUAUAUCUACCAUGCCCUCCAAACAUGAUUGUUGAUAUCUUUUCUAUAUAAAUUACUUUCCUACAUAAAUGGUACUUAGCUUUUCCUUGAAAGAUAUGCUCUUCUCUCCAGCUCAAAGAUAACCCUCUUUCCCUCAAAUUAUAAGUAAUUUAUAUUUAAUAAUCUUUCAUACGAAUUUUUAAAAUUACAAAUGGUAAGGUACCACUAUUUUUUAUUUUGUAACAGCACAAACCAUCAAAUCAGAAAAAAAGAAAGGUUGAGUAUGAUCUCUGAAAAAUGAAUUCUAGUAGCAUGUAUAGCAAAAAUCAUCUUAGAAUGAAUAGAAGCCCUGAAUAACUCAAUGACCACCAGGCUUGUCUGCAUCCACGUUCUACUUGGUUAACUGUUAAAUAAUAUCUAACUUGUUGCAUUGUAAAAACAACAUGUGUCUGUAAACUGAAAAAUAGAUGUUAUUAUCCACCUGGUUUAGUCAUAAUGGAGAAAUGUCCUUCAGUUGCAUGAUGCUCUUCCUAUGAAUGAGGAAACCAGAUCAACAUUUCCAUUCAAGUUCUAGCUUGCCUAUAACAUUUCUUAGCUCCUUUUGCAAACCAAAAGUGGCAGCAGUUGUAACUGAAUUAGUCUAACUGCUCAGACACAUGCAUUUCUGUUUGGUUGCUCUGGUCUCUUCUUGAAGGCCAAGUGCUGUGAUCAUUUAUCAUCAUCAGAAUUGGCUGCCAUAACUCAGUGUUCCCGGGACCUGCAGUGGGCAGAGCACCAGCACAACCCGUAGAAAGCAGCUCCAAGAUCAGCACCCUCUCAUAAACCUACCGAGCCAGGAGCAUCUUCCAGGCCCUCCACUCUCAGGAGUUUCAAGGAGAAAACAAAAUGCUGAGGACUGGGAAUGAGAAGCUUCAACCUUGCACAAUCUCUACAUUUUGCUUUACUCCCAAGAGGGACGAAUGAAGAAUGUUGUUAUUGAUGCUAUGACCACUUCUCUCCCAUAUUGUGCCCAGUAAACAUGGUCUUACUCAUUAUUGAAAUACUAGCAUUCUUCUAUAAUGGUUCGUACACAGCUGCUGCCCAGAGCACUGAAUAACACAUACUACCAGGUGUCAAACCCAGAUUUCCCCAGUCUCUCCUUAAUUUCCAGCAAUAAAAAGAUUAGCCUGGCACAGCAGGUCUUCAGACCCUUUCUGAUUUUGAAUAGUGAUUUGAACACCUCUCCUAGCUGUGUCCCCUUUGGGUUUAAGAAUAAGAUAGAAGAUAUAUUGCUUUCCAUUUUAAAAUGUUUAACUUCUAUUCAAGAAUAAAUAUUGAUGAAGGGCAUCUAGGUACUAGUGAUUUUUCCUGAUGUCCAUUUUGUGAACUUCACAGAAGACUUUGAUUUCACCUUAAACCAAAGAAAACGUUCACAGAUAUCUUAUAAAUCUACUAUUUUUCAUGAUUAUAAUAACCUGUCAUCAUGACAAGCCAUGUUCAUUAACAAAAGAAAUCAUAGGGGCAGCUUCUAUUGGGCACUUAACUCCUUCAUCCAUGAAAUUAUACUUUAUGUGAAUUUAUUUUUGGAAAGUUCAGGUAGUUUAAAUUUUAAAUAUAUAGACUAGAAAGAAAUUGGGACCUUAAAAACUAUUUUACAGGAAAAAUGUUUCUGCCUGUCCUCAUAUUUCCUUCUUUUUUUUUUUUAACAGUGUUAGAUUUCUGCAGAACUAAUACCCUUUAAAUACUCUUGUCACACUUCAGAGGACACUAUGCAAAUUCUCAGAGGCCACACAAUUUCCAGGUAUAUUGUGAGGCCUCUGAUAAGAUUUGUAUACUGUUGACACCUACUUAAUAUAUGGAUAAAUAAAUCUCCA